rnacentral:lncRNA from 1 species
GCGCCACCUCCUCCCGGAGGCCUCCAUCUACCUCCCCACGGCCUUGGGCUCGUGACGGUACUGCUUGUACGGCGGGCUGCGCCUGUCAGCACCAGGUCCCGGAGGAACCGAGUCCGUAUCUGGUUGCCCAGGGCUCGUCCCGGCUCAGCCCUGUGCUCACAGUGCCGGGGGUCGAGCAUUCACCCCACUCGCGCUCCGGUGAGCCAUCGGGCCACGCAGCCAGCUUCUCGCGUCCCUCGGACGACCCACGAGGCCCUUGCUACUAAACGAAGCCUACGCCGCCACCCUGUCCCCUGUCACGCAGUCCCCCUGUUUCAGGGUUUUCAAGGGCACCGAGCGCGUACGCGUCCUCAUAGGAGCAGGAAGCGCGAGGAAGUGUCGUUCGAGCUUCUGCCAGCAGAGGGCGGCAGAGUCGCGGGCCAGCGGCCGCUGCGGUCUCUUCCGCGGGGCGGGGGGCUGGCGACGCCGCGGCGGGGACAACCAGGCUCGCGGUGACCCGAUAGGGGGCGCUGCCCGAGACCGGCAACUCGGGCCACCGGCGAGCGCGGCCCGUUCUGAGGCGGCGAGGACACUAGCCACCCUCCCGUCCUGUCCCCAUCAGAAGCCACACGCAGCCCCGGCCCACCAACCUGUGCUAAAGGUGACUCAAGACCACCUCGCUAAACUUGAUUUCAGCGGUUUUACAGUGGAGUCCCAGGCUGCUAGAGCUCAAAGAGCCCUGGGACAUUUCCUACAGCGACAGUCUCUUUCCCCA